AUUGAACGCUGGCGGCAGGCCUAACACAUGCAAGUCGGACGGUAGCACAGAGGAGCUUGCUCCUCGGGUGACGAGUGGCGGACGGGUGAGUAAUGUCUGGGGAUCUGCCUGAUAGAGGGGGAUAACCACUGGAAACGGUGGCUAAUACCGCAUAACGUCGCAAGACCAAAGAGGGGGACCUUCGGGCCUCUCACUAUCGGAUGAACCCAGAUGGGAUUAGCUAGUAGGCGGGGUAACGGCCCACCUAGGCGACGAUCCCUAGCUGGUCUGAGAGGAUGACCAGCCACACUGGAACUGAGACACGGUCCAGACUCCUACGGGAGGCAGCAGUGGGGAAUAUUGCACAAUGGGCGCAAGCCUGAUGCAGCCAUGCCGCGUGUAUGAAGAAGGCCUUCGGGUUGUAAAGUACUUUCAGCGGGGAGGAAGGCGAUGUGGUUAAUAACCGCAUUGAUUGACGUUACCCGCAGAAGAAGCACCGGCUAACUCCGUGCCAGCAGCCGCCGUAA
rnacentral:rRNA from 1 species